rnacentral:rRNA from 1 species
ACUCCUACGGGAGGCAGCAGUAGGGAAUCUUCCACAAUGGGCGCAAGCCUGAUGGAGCAACACCGCGUGAGUGAAGAAGGGUUUCGGCUCGUAAAGCUCUGUUGUUAAAGAAGAACACGUAUGAGAGUAACUGUUCAUACGUUGACGGUAUUUAACCAGAAAGUCACGGCUAACUACGUGCCAGCAGCCGCGGUAAUACGUAGGUGGCAAGCGUUAUCCGGAUUUAUUGGGCGUAAAGAGAGUGCAGGCGGUUUUCUAAGUCUGAUGUGAAAGCCUUCGGCUUAACCGGAGAAGUGCAUCGGAAACUGGAUAACUUGAGUGCAGAAGAGGGUAGUGGAACUCCAUGUGUAGCGGUGGAACGCGUAGAUAUAUGGAAGAACACCAGUGGCGAAGGCGGCUACCUGGUCUGCAACUGACGCUGAGACUCAAAAGCAUGGGUAGCGAACAGGAUUAGAUACCCCUGGUAGGAUAGCG